UACGUAGGUGGCGAGCGUUGUCCGGAUUUACUGGGCGUAAAGGGAGCGUAGGCGGACUUUUAAGUGAGAUGUGAAAUACCCGGGCUCAACUUGGGUGCUGCAUUUCAAACUGGAAGUCUAGAGUGCAGGAGAGGAGAAUGGAAUUCCUAGUGUAGCGGUGAAAUGCGUAGAGAUUAGGAAGAACACCAGUGGCGAAGGCGAUUCUCUGGACUGUAACUGACGCUGAGGCUCGAAAGCGUGGGGAGCAAACAGGAUUAGAUAUCCCGGUA
rnacentral:rRNA from 1 species